rnacentral:tRNA from 1 species
GCCGGGUUAGCUCAGUUGGAAGAGCACCGCUCUUGUAAAGCGGACGUCGCCGGUUCGACUCCGGCACCCGGCUCCA